CGUAUCCUACGGGGGGCAGCAGUGAGGAAUAUUGGUCAAUGGUCGGGAGACUGAACCAGCCAAGCCGCGUGAGGGAGGAAGGUACAGAGUAUCGUAAACCUCUUUUGUCAGGGAACAAAGACUGGGACGCGCCCCCGGAUGAGUGUACCUGAAGAAAAAGCAUCGGCUAACUCCGUGCCAGCAGCCGCGGUAAUACGGAGGAUGCGAGCGUUAUCCGGAUUUAUUGGGUUUAAAGGGUGCGCAGGCGGUCUGUUAAGUCAGCGGUCAAAGCCCGGGGCUCAACCCCGGCCCGCCGUUGAAACUGG
rnacentral:rRNA from 1 species